AUGUUGGACAAAGAGUUGAAACAAGUUGCUAAUGGGUUUGACUAUAAGGUCGGUACAUUUGAUAAAUACGACAUUAAUGGGUAUCGCUUCCGCACACAUGGGAAUGAGGAACGUCGGGAUGUUCUAAAAUCAAGAAACACGGGAGUGUCGGCUAUUUGCAAUGGAGUUGAGUAUUAUGGAAGACUUGAUGAAAUAUACGAACUGCAUUACUUUGGGGCAAAUCCUCCAAAAGUCGUUGUCUUCAAAUGCCAUUGGUUUGAUCCGGAGAAGGUUACGCGGAGGGAUGAUAUUGGGAAAGUCGAAAUUCGACAAUACAACAAAUUAGAAUGUGAAGAUGUCUAUAUUGUGGCUCAACAGGUGACACAAGUUUUUUAUCUCAAGUAUGCAUGCCAAAAGAAGUACCUUAAGGGUUGGGAUGUCGUGUACAAUGUGCCGACACAUGGUAAACAUCCUUCCCCCAGUGAAGAGGAUUAUCAACCUCACAUCGACCCUGACACAUAUGAUGGAGAAUUCUUCCAAGAAGAACAUGGGCCUAGAGGCCGUCUCAACAUCCAUCCACGCAUGGAAGUACACAUUGACAGUGAAGAAGAAGAAGUCGAAGAGGAAUAA
rnacentral:rRNA from 1 species